rnacentral:tRNA from 1 species
GAGGACGUAGUGAAGCUUGGUAUCAUGCGUGCUUGGGGAGCACGUGAGCGAGGGUUCAAAUCCCUCCGUCCUCA